rnacentral:rRNA from 1 species
GACGAACGCUGGCGGCGUGCCUAAUACAUGCAAGUUGAGCGCUGAAGGUUGGUACUUGUACCAACUGGAUGAGCAGCGAACGGGUGAGUAACGCGUGGGGAAUCUGCCUUUGAGCGGGGGACAACAUUUGGAAACGAAUGCUAAUACCGCAUAAAAACUUUAAACACAAGUUUUAAGUUUGAAAGAUGCAAUUGCAUCACUCAAAGAUGAUCCCGCGUUGUAUUAGCUAGUUGGUGAGGUAAAGGCCUACCAAGGCGAUGAUACAUAGCCGACCUGAGAGGGGGGUCGGCCACAAUGGGACUGGGACACGGCCCAAACUCCUACGGGAGGGAGCAGUAGGGAAUCUUCGGCAAUGGGGGAAAGUCUGACCGGACAACGCCGGGGGGGGGAAGAAGGUUUUCGGAUCGUAAAACUCUGUUGGUAGAGAAGAACGUUGGGGAGAGUGGAAAGCUCAUCAAGUGACGGUAACUACCCAGAAAGGGACGGCUAACUACGUG